rnacentral:rRNA from 1 species
UACGUAGGGUGCAAGCGUUUGUCCGGAAUUAUUGGGCGUAAAGAGCUCGUAGGUGGUUUGUCGCGUUGUUCGUGAAAACUCACAGCUCAACUGUGGGCGUGCGGGCGAUACGGGCAGACUAGAGUACUGCAGGGGAGACUGGAAUUCCUGGUGUAGCGGUGGAAUGCGCAGAUAUCAGGAGGAACACCGGUGGCGAAGGCGGGUCUCUGGGCAGUAAACUGACGCUGGAGGAGCGGAAAAGCGUGGGGGAGCGAACAGG